GGAUGAGUCUGAUGGAGGAGUUUGGGUCUUAUUUAGGGGUUCUUAUGUUCCAAGGGAGAGUGGGGAAAGCUUGCUUUGAGCCCUUAUAUUCUGUAAAAUUGAUGCUCAGUUGGCAAGUUGGAAAAUGAAUUUUUUUUUAUCUUUAGUAGGCCACAUUGUUCUUGCAAAGUCAGUUCUUAUUGCCUUACGGAACCAUCUUCUUCAAUCUAUUUAUCUUCCUAGAUCGAUUUGUGCUGAUUUUGAUAAAAGGAUCAGGGACUUCAUUUGGGGUGACCAAAGAGGGCAGAAAUGCCUUCAUCUUGUGAAUUGGGAUCAAGUCACCCAUCCAGUUCAGCAUGGUGGCCAGGGUGUGCGCUUUUGUAAGGAGAUGAAUGAUGCUUUUCUAGCUAAACUGGGGUGGCAUCUGUUACAUGAAAAUAAUGCUUUAUGGGCAGAAAUGGUUGAGGGCAAGUAUUUUGGGGACUCUUCUGGUGUGAAUAAUUUAGUAGGGAAGCGUAACGCGGCUAUUGUUUGGCAAGGCAUAACCAACAGUGCUUCUCUAUUGAAGUAAGGUAUCUAUAAUAUUGUUUGUACUGGGCUGUUUACUUUUUUCUAGGAAGAUAUUUGGCUUGUGGAUAUGCCCCUUCUUUCGUUAACUACGCAAGAUAUUCCCCACUAUUUUCUUUAGCGUCCUAUUGCACAUUUUUGGGACGGUAAUAUGUGGAAUUGGAGUUUAAUUUCUUAUUAUCUUUCUGAGGAUCUCUGUAUUCGUUUAGAGUCAGUUUCUUUAAUUUCAGAUGCUAAUGCUAUGGAUUAUAUGGCUUGGAGGUAUGAUUUUCGUGGAUCAUUCACAGUGAAAUCUGCAUAUAAGCUUGCAAAACCCUUAAGUUGUAGUGUAUUUGAUUCUCUCCGGUCUACUAUUUUGAGGAUUAAAGUUCCGCAACGCAUUCGAGUUUUUAUUUGGUUACUGGUCCAUUGUAAAAUCAUGACAAAUGAGGAGAGAUGUGGACGAAAUUUCACAAACGAUCCUGGAUGUAGUAUUUGUAGAACUUCCUGUGGAAGUACUGUUCAUGCUCAAAGGGAUUGUCCCUUAGCUAAGCUCGCAUGGAAGAGAAUAUGGAGUGCUAAGUCAUUUCGCAAUUUCGAGACUCUUCCUAUGGUGGGAUGGUUAUAUCAGGGCAAUUCUUUUGUGGGUCAGUUGUUUGGUAGUUCUACUUCUCUCCAGAUUUUGUGGUGGUUGUGGAAAUGAUGCAAUGACCUUAUUUUUAAUAUGAAUGCUCUAUCUCUUGAUGCUAAGUUACACAUAUUGAAAUUCCAAUUUUAUCUAAUGCUAAUGGAUGGGAUUCAUGUAGUUUAGAUAAAUCUAGCUUGACAAGAAAUAUCAUCUCUGUUGCUUGGCAACCUUCCAGUGUUGGUUGGUGGAAAUUGAAUACCGAUGGAGCAGCUAUAGGUAAUACUGGCCGAGUAGGUGGGGGUGGUGUCCUGAGGGACCAUCAUGGCCUCUAGAAGGCGGGCUGUACAGUACGGUUGG
rnacentral:misc_RNA from 1 species